GACGAACGCUGGCGGCGCGCCUAACACAUGCAAGUCGAACGGAGCUGAGAGAAGCUUGCUUUUCUUAGCUUAGUGGCGAACGGGUGAGUAACGCGUGAGUAACCUGCCCUGGAGUGGGGGACAACAGUUGGAAACGACUGCUAAUACCGCAUAAGCUCACGAUCCGGCAUCGGAUUGAGGGAAAAGGAUUUAUUCGCUUCAGGAUGGACUCGCGUCCAAUUAGCUAGUUGGUGAGGUAACGGCCCACCAAGGCGACGAUUGGUAGCCGGACUGAGAGGUUGAACGGCCACAUUGGGACUGAGACACGGCCCAGACUCCUACGGGAGGCAGCAGUGGGGGAUAUUGCACAAUGGGGGAAACCCUGAUGCAGCGACGCCGCGUGGAGGAAGAAGGUUUUCGGAUUGUAAACUCCUGUCGUUAGGGACGAUAAUGACGGUACCUGACAAGAAAGCACCGGCUAACUACGUG
rnacentral:rRNA from 1 species